GAAAGAGAAGGCCAGGGGUCUUCUUACCAACAUGGGCCUAAUUUUCAGAAGGUCUGGUGGCGGCCUUCAUCUGCACCGCAGGGGGUCCCCCUCUAAAGACAGCUCCAGGACAUGGUCUCCCUCAGAAAAAUUCAUUGGGUAACCUGGGAAAGCAUCAAUAACAAAAACAGAGGGUGCAGUGGCGGCCUUCAUCUGCACAGCAGGGGGUCCUCCUCCCAAGACACCUCCAGGACCUGGUGAGUGAUUUCUGUGUAGAACUAAAGGCAGUCGUCCCCAAAACCCCAGCUCUGAAGUCGAGCAAAGGGAAGCCGUUAGGGAAAUACUGGGACUCCUCCCUAGGGAAACAGCAUCGGGAAAGGGAGAGUUGGAGAGAAAAACUUACUGCAUUCUAGGGGUUGCUCCAUCACAUACCAGUUCCCAUCAACACUGCGGGCUUCCAGAGAACUUCAGAUGGAAAUUCUCCACAAAUUCAUGUAUGGAUCUUCCUCGGAAUAUAUCAAUGAGAAAUUCAUGGAAAUCUUCUGCAGAACAGCAAGGAGUCCUCCAGUCUAAAAUAAC
rnacentral:lncRNA from 1 species